rnacentral:rRNA from 1 species
GUGGGGAAUUUUGGACAAUGGGCGCAAGCCUGAUCCAGCAAUGCCGCGUGCAGGAAGAAGGCCUUCGGGUUGUAAACUGCUUUUGUACGGAACGAAACGGUCCGGGUUAAUACCCUGGGCUAAUGACGGUACCGUAAGAAUAAGCACCGGCUAACUACGUGCCAGCAGCCGCGGUAAUACGUAGGGUGCAAGCGUUAAUCGGAAUUACUGGGCGUAAAGCGUGCGCAGGCGGUGCUGUAAGACAGGCGUGAAAUCCCCGGGCUCAACCUGGGAAUUGCGCUUGUGACUGCAGUGCUGGAGUACGGCAGAGGGGGAUGGAAUUCCGCGUGUAGCAGUGAAAUGCGUAGAUAUGCGGAGGAACACCGAUGGCGAAGGCAGUCCCCUGGGCCUGUACUGACGCUCAUGCACGAAAGCGUGGGGAGCAAACAGGAUUAGAAACCCUAGUAGUCC